AGUGUUUCUUGUAUUUUUUUUUUUCUCUUAGUGGAUGGGGCAAGUUUUCGAAGUCGCACUCCACUACAAUUCCUGUAUAAUCGAUCCAAAUAGAUCACUUAAUUAGUUCAAGCAGACCAUCUAAAUGGAAUUCGAACUUUCAUCGAGUCAAUCCCGAACAUUUGACGAUUUGUAUCAUCUCGCAUACACUCCAAUGACAUUACACUAGCCGUUUGGCUCCGAUCGAGGGGAUUAGAAUAACUGACAGAGAAUUGAACUUUUGAGGAUUCCAAUUGAAGCUUUUAUUCAAAAUCUUCGGUUGGGCCUUGAAAUUAGCACGGAAUGGCUCCCACCCACCAUAGCCACCAUCAUCGCCGACGGUCGCCGCCCAACCUCCUCCCCGAGCCUCUGAUCGACCUCUCCCGGCCUGUCUCCGCACGGCGAGGUCAAAUCUGGCUUCGCCGUGACCAAAUCUGACCGGCACGCGGGAGAUUCGGCCCGGUAGGAGGGCCGGUCAGAACCCUAACUCGCGAGCCUCACCAGGACGAGGCUCCUCGAGGGCACCCGGGGUUUGCCCUGGGCUUGCGAGAACAGGGCGACCAUGGGAGGAGGUCGCUUUACCCCACGGCGAGGCUCGUCGUGGACCGUAGACCUCGUGAAGGCCUCUGAAAGUCCCAGCCCUUUUCCUGCUUGUUUCUUCGCUGUUUUGUGAGCUGUAGGCUUCAGACAUGAGGCGCUUGAUUACAUGUAUAGGAUGAGUCCGGAACCGGAGAGGUGUAGAAGAACCGAUGGGGAAAAAGUGGCGAUGCAGUAAAAGGAUGUAAUCCCCCAUCAGAAGCAAGUGAUAUCUCACAAAACAUUGGAGUAAGUGAUGUCUUCAUAUAGCUGAUGAUGCAUUGGAGCUCACCGAAAUUAAGGCUAUGAUUGCACCCGUCCUGAUAAUGGCAUCUUGUUUCUGAUCAGUUCUGGUAAUGCGACUCUCACCAAUAAGUACGUUUUUUUUUUUAAUGUCCAUGCAAACUGAGAGAUGCAAUUUUGAGGAUUUACAUUUCCAACUUAAUACGAGGGAGGCUUUUUGUAGCGUUAUGAUUGUGGAAAUGAAGCAGUUGGGUUCGCCAAUGUAAAUUUUUUUGGAUGAACUCCAGCGUUUACUCUUCAUUGAUACCAUAUAAUGAUUACAAGGCCUAAGAAAGACCCAAAAUAAUACAGAUCAGACGCCUAUGUAAAUUUUCUA